rnacentral:rRNA from 1 species
UACGUAGGGGGCAAGCGUUGUCCGGAAUCAUUGGGCGUAAAGAGCGUGUAGGCGGCCCGAUAAGUCCGCUGUGAAAGUCCAGGGCUCAACCCUGGGAUGCCGGUGGAUACUGUCGGGCUCGAGUCCGGAAGAGGAGUGUGGAAUUCCUAGUGUAGCGGUGAAAUGCGCAGAUAUCAGGAGGAACACCAAUGGCGAAGGCAGCACUCUGGGACGUGACUGACGCUGAGACGCGAAAGCGUGGGGAGCAAACAGG